AGGGAAUGUUCAUCAAAAUAGGUCCAUCAUGUUUUGAACCACAGAACAAACUGCAACAAAUAUGAGAAGACUGUGGCUUGGAGACGUUAAGUGACUUACCCAAGGGCACAGAGCUCAUGAACCUGAAUCAGGGUUCACGCCAAACAGUGUGGCUCUGGGGCCCCGGGCUCCUGUACACUAUUCUGCAUGAUCUCUUGGCCUGGAGAACAGACCCAGGUGGACUGGGGCCAUCACUCUGGAUGCCCAAAAGAUGAGGACUUCUUAGGAAGUUGAGCAGCGAGCACUAGAUAUUAUUAAUAGAUGUCAAUAGCUGCUCAGACAUAGUAAUCAAAUGAAUUCUAAGGUCUUGAAUGUAAGGAGACUCACCACUUAUCCUUCAUCCCUUUGCUGGUGACAAGAAGAGACCAAGGUUUGUGAUGGUACUGCUGGGGGCUGCCUGUCAGAAAAAGGAAGGCAUCCUGCUUGGACCGGUUUCUGCAGAGGAAGGAAAGAAAGGAAACGUCGUCCCCUGGUGGGCAUCGUUGGUAGCGGCAGUAGGCAGCCGACCAGCAUUAGGUAUGAGGAGGAUGUUAAGGCAAGGAGGUUUCUCGAGUCCUGGUGAAUUAUCAUGUUGUAACUAUCCCAUGGCCAUUUAAAAGGAAUGUGCAUUCUGCUUAAAGGAUAUAUAUGCGUCUAUUAAAUCAAGAUGCUUUUAUUGUUACAUUCUUCAAAUCCUCUAUAUUCAUAUAUAAAUCCAUGCAUAUGAAAAUAUAUGAAUAUAUAGUCUAAAUUCAUAUAUAUAGUCUAUAUUCAUAUAUGUAUAUAUUUCUUGUGUCAAUUACGAGG
rnacentral:lncRNA from 1 species